rnacentral:rRNA from 1 species
GUCUGCCGUGAAAGUCCGGGGCUUAACCCCGGAUCUGCGGUGGGUACGGGCAGACUAGAGUGCAGUAGGGGAGACUGGAAUUCCUGGUGUAGCGGUGAAAUGCGCAGAUAUCAGGAGGAACACCGAUGGCGAAGGCAGGUCUCUGGGCUGUAACUGACGCUGAGGAGCGAAAGCAUGGGGAGCGAACAGGAUUAGAUACCCUGGUAGUCCAUGCCGUAAACGUUGGGCACUAGGUGUGGGGGACAUUCCACGUUUUCCGCGCCGUAGCUAACGCAUUAAGUGCCCCGCCUGGGGAGUACGGCCGCAAGGUUAAAACUCAAAUGAAUUGACGGGGGCCCGCACAAGCGGCGGAGCAUGCGGAUUAAUUCGAUGCAACGCGAAGAA